rnacentral:rRNA from 1 species
GUUGGAAACGACUGCUAAUACCGCAUAAUGUCUACGGACCAAAGGGGGCUUCGGCUCUCGCCUUUAGAUUGGCCCAAGUGGGAUUAGCUAGUUGGUGAGGUAAUGGCUCACCAAGGCGACGAUCCCUAGCUGGUUUGAGAGGAUGAUCAGCCACACUGGGACUGAGACACGGCCCAGACUCCUACGGGAGGCAGCAGUGGGGAAUAUUGCACAAUGGGCGCAAGCCUGAUGCAGCCAUGCCGCGUGUGUGAAGAAGGCCUUCGGGUUGUAAAGCACUUUCAGUCAGGAGGAAAGGUUAGUAGUUAAUACCUGCUAGCUGUGACGUUACUGACAGAAGAAGCACCGGCUAACUCCGUGCCAGCAGCCGCGGUAAUACGGAGGGUGCGAGCGUUAAUCGGAAUUACUGGGCGUAAAGCGUACGCAGGCGGUUUGUUAAGCGAGAUGUGAAAGCCCCGGGCUCAACCUGGGAACUGCAUUUCGAACUGGCAAACUAGAGUGUGAUAGAGGGUGGUAGAAUUUCAGGUGUAGCGGUGAAAUGCGUAGAGAUCUGAAGGAAUACCGAUGGCGAAGGCAGCCACCUGGGUCAACACUGACGCUCAUGUACGAAAGCGUGGGGAGCAAACGGGAUUAGAUACCCCGGUAGUCCACGCCGUAAACGAUGUCUACUAGAAGCUCGGAGCCUCGGUUCUGUUUUUCAAAGCUAACGCAUUAAGUAGACCGCCUGGGGAGUACGGCCGCAAGGUUAAAACUCAAAUGAAUUGACGGGGGCCCGCACAAGCGGUGGAGCAUGUGGUUUAAUUCGAUGC